UACGUAGGAUGCAAGCGUUGUCCGGAAUUACUGGGCGUAAAGCGUGCGUAGACGGUUAUGUAAGUCAGAUGUGAAAGCCCCGGGCUCAACCUGGGAAUUGCAUUUGAGACUGCAUAGCUAGGGUGCGGAAGAGGGAAGCGGAAUUUCCGGUGUAGCGGUGAAAUUCGUAGAUAUCGGGAGGAACACCAGUGGCGAAGGCGGCGAUCUGGACCGAUACUGACGCUGAGGUGCGAAAGCGUGGGGGAGCAAACAGGG
rnacentral:rRNA from 1 species